rnacentral:rRNA from 1 species
GUGUCAGCAGCCGCGGUAAGACAGAGGCCUCAAGCGUUAGGCGGAAUCACUGGGCUUAAAGCGUGUGUAGGCGGAUCGUUAAGUACCUUGUGAAAUCCCACGGCUCACCCGUGGAACUGCUGGGUAUACUGGCGGUCUUGGGCCAACUAGGGGCAGCUGGAACAAGCGGUGGAGCGGUGAAAUGCGUAGAUAUCGCUUGGAACGCCGAAGGUGAAAACAGGCUGCUGGGGUUGUGCCGACGCUGAGACACGAAAGCCAGGGGAGCAAACGGGAUUAGAAACCCGAGUAGUCC